rnacentral:rRNA from 1 species
AGUGAACGCUGGCGGUAGGCCUAACACAUGCAAGUCGAACGGCAGCACAGUAAGAGCUUGCUCUUACGGGUGGCGAGUGGCGGACGGGUGAGGAAUACAUCGGAAUCUACUUUUUCGUGGGGGAUAACGUAGGGGAACUUACGCUAGUACCGCAUACGACCUACGGGUGAGAGCAGGGGAUCUUCGCACCUUGCGCGAUUGAAUGAGCCGAUGGCGGAUUAGCUGGUUGGCGGGGUAAAGGCCCACCAAGGCGACGGUCCGUAGCUGGUCUGAGAGGAUGAUCAGCCACCCUGGAACUGAGACAGGGCCCAGAGGCCUACGGGAGGGAGCCGUGGGCAUACGUGGAGAAGGGGUGCAAGCUAGAGCACGCCAUACCGCGUGGUGGAAGAAGGACGUCGGGUUGUAAAGCCCUUUUGUUGGGAAAGAAACGCAUCAGGUUAAUAACGCGCCGUGCUUACGGUACCUAAAGAAUAAGCACCGGCUAACUUCGUG